rnacentral:rRNA from 1 species
AUUGAACGCUGGCGGCAGGCUUAACACAUGCAAGUCGAGCGGAGAGAGGUAGCUUGCUACUGAUCUUAGCGGCGGACGGGUGAGUAAUGCUUAGGAAUCUGCCUAUUAGUGGGGGACAACAUUUCGAAAGGAAUGCUAAUACCGCAUACGUCCUACGGGAGAAAGCAGGGGAUCUUCGGACCUUGCGCUAAUAGAUGAGCCUAAGUCGGAUUAGCUAGUUGGUGGGGUAAAGGCCUACCAAGGCGACGAUCUGUAGCGGGUCUGAGAGGAUGAUCCGCAACACUGGGAUGGAGCCACGGCACAGACUCCUACGGGAGGCAGCAGUGGGGAAUAUUGGAAAAUGGGCGCAAGCCUGAUCCAGCCAUGCCGCGUGUGUGAAGAAGGCCUUAUGGUUGUAAAGCACUUUAAGCGAGGAGGAGGCUACUUUAGUUAAUACCUAGAGAUAGUGGACGUUACUCGCAGAAUAAGCACCGGCUAACUCUGUGCCAGCCGCCGCCGUAACAC